UUUAAGAAAAAAAAAAGAUGUAUACCAACAUUCAGUAACUUCGUAUCUUUUUUCUGUUAUAGUGUCCAAGAAAUUGUUGACUUUGACAUUGACCGUUCGUUGUCACAUUAGUGUAUUUAUUUUAGCAACGAUUUUUGAAUUAGAAAUCCAAAAUGUUUAAGUCAGUAUGACCAAUCACCAAUAUAAUAAGUGUAUUACUUUCAUUUCGAUAAAUUUUGAUUUUUCUGGAGUACAAUCAAACAUUAAGGCAACAUAAUUUAACUUCUUUACACCAAAGUGCAAAUAAGUGGUAAAAAAAGCAGCAAACAACUAAGUAAACUAGGGCGCAUUAGAUAUACGAAAAAUGAAUGAGGAAGAAGUAAAAAACAAGACCAACAGAGACCAAGAACUACAAAUACCAUACGAAGAAAAUAAGUACAUGUAGGCCAUUUCAAAACGAAGUAACGAAAAAAUUGAUGAAAAAGGGUCAAUUGAAAAGAACGUCAGAUAAACUGCAGAAAUCAUUACAAGACAAGCAUCUAAGGUACAAUCAUAAAAGCCUUUGUAAUUAAGAAUGCUGUACCGAACUUACCAAAUUUCUCUUAGCCAUAUCUCCCAUGACACUGGCUGAAAAUAAAAUAAAAAAUGCAUAAAUAAAUUAUUAUUUAUA